UUUUUUUUAUUAUUUUGCAUUUCGAGGAAAUGUCGAGAAUAAUGUCGACAUGUAGAAAUAAUGUACAAAUGUCGAGAAUAAGGUCAAAAUGUAGUAAAUAAUGUCAAAAUGUCAAGAAUAAGGUCAAAAUGUAGAAAAAUAAUGUCGAGAAUAAGGUCAAAAUGUAGAAAAUAAUGUCGAAAUGUCAAGAAUAAGGUCAAAAUGUAGAAAAUAAUGUCAAGAAUAAGGUCAAAAUGUAGAACAUAAUGUCAAGAAUAAGGUCAAAAUGUAGUAAAUAAUGUCGAGAAUAAGGUCAAAAUGUAGAAAAUAAUGUCGAAAUGUCAAGAAUAAGGUCAAAAUGUAGAAAAUAAUGUCAAGAAUAAGGUCAAAAUGUAGAAAAUAAUGUCAAGAAUAAGGUCAAAAUGUAGAACAUAAUGUCAAGAAUAAGAUCAAAAUGUAGUAAAUAAUGUCAAGAAUAAGGUCAAAAUGUAGAAAAUAAUGUCGAGAAUA